UACGUAGGGGGCAAGCGUUGUCCGGAUUUAUUGGGCGUAAAGAGUGUGUAGGCGGCCAGACAGGUCCGUUGUGAAAACUCGAGGCUCAACCUCGAGACGCCGAUGGAAACCGUCUGGCUAGAGUCCGGAAGAGGAGAGUGGAAUUCCUGGUGUAGCGGUGAAAUGCGCAGAUAUCAGGAAGAACACCCGUGGCUAAGGCGGCUCUCUAGUACGGUACUGACGCUGAGACGCGAAAGCGUGGGGAGCGAACAGG
rnacentral:rRNA from 1 species